rnacentral:rRNA from 1 species
UACGAAGGGGGCUAGCGUUACUCGGAUUGACUGGGCGUAAAGGGCGCGUAGGCGGAUGGUACAGUCAGACGUGAAAUUCCUGGGCUUAACCUGGGGGCUGCGUUUGAUACGUGCUGUCUGGAGUUCGGAAGAGGGUCGUGGAAUUCCCAGUGUAGAGGUGAAAUUUGUAGAUAUUGGGAAGAACACCGGUGGCGAAGGCGGCGACCUGGUCCGAUACUGACGCUGAGGCGCGAAAGCGUGGGGAGCAAACAGG